rfam:Glycine soja cultivar W05 scaffold9334_1, whole genome shotgun sequence.
UUCUUAUUGGAUGGUGACGAUCACAUGUUAUAUUCUAAUUGGAUGUCAACUUCAUGAAAAUGAAAUGCAUUGUUGUCAUUGCCCAAUCAGAACAUGACACGUUACAGACAUCAUCC